AGCGAACGCUGGCGGCAGGCCUAACACAUGCAAGUCGAACGAACUCUUCGGAGUUAGUGGCGGACGGGUGAGUAACACGUGGGAACGUGCCUUUAGGUUCGGAAUAACUCAGGGAAACUUGUGCUAAUACCGAAUGUGCCCUUCGGGGGAAAGAUUUAUCGCCUUUAGAGCGGCCCGCGUCUGAUUAGCUAGUUGGUGAGGUAAAGGCUCACCAAGGCGACGAUCAGUAGCUGGUCUGAGAGGAUGAUCAGCCACAUUGGGACUGAGACACGGCCCAAACUCCUAGGGGAGGCAGCAGUGGGGAAUCUUGCGCAAUGGGCGAAAGCCUGACGCAGCCAUGCCGGGUGAAUGAUGAAGGUCUUAGGAUUGUAAAAUUCUUUCACCGGGGACGAUAAUGACGGUACCCGGAGAAGAAGCCCCGGCUAACUUCGUG
rnacentral:rRNA from 1 species